rnacentral:rRNA from 1 species
CAAUAUUGAAAAAAAAAGAGAAAAAAAGAAGAAAAAAAGUCCGAGCACGCUCCUCCCCUUCAGACAGGACGAUCAUUUGAGUGUGUGUGUGUGUUGGG